GAGUCCCAUGUCUCCCAGGAAUAGGUUUGUCUCAGUACCCCUGCUGGGUUCCGCUAUUGCCUCUGGAAUCAGCCCAUGAGAAGUGCAGUCUGGUGCCCACACAGCUACAGUGAUGGAUUUCAGAGCACAGCAGCUGGAGCCGUUGGUCAAUUUCAUUGCCUGUAGUUGGAGGUCUGCGAAGAGCAUUGAUUCUCAUGGGUACCACAAAUACCUACACUGCCAGACGGCUAUAAGGAUAAGAGAUGAAUGUAUGGUCAUCCCUGGGAAUCUCAGUUCCAGGUUGUCUUUUCGGCUCCUCAAUACCCAACCCUUUUGUAGAGCCUCCUCCUCCAGACCAGUGCUUUUCAAACUUUAAUGUGCGGAAGAACCACUGAAAACUGUUGUUAGAAUGCAGGUUCUGAUUCAGUAGGUCCACAUGAACCUGCGAUUCUGCAUUUUAAUGAACCUCAAUUGAUGCUGUUGUUGCUGCUCUGAGGACCAUGCCAACAGGCCCCGAAUGUCUGCCAUAUGGAAGCUCAGAAUUGUCAACACUCCCUCUGCUUUUCCUUUGUCUUCCCUCAGAACACCUGCUCACCAUGACCUGUACAUCCAGGAACAUGCUGAAUGUUCAUUUGGAAAGACUGAAGCUUCCAGGACCGUCACUUCUGGUGUCACUAUUACGUGCAGCCCUCAGCCAGGUUAAGGUUUGAUGAUGGAUCCACAAAGCAAACUUCUGGCUGAAGACACAUGGCCGGAGUUUAUCCAAAGCCCUGACGGUUGCCAGCCAUUCUUCCUGAGAAGCAGACAUGUUUGUUUCCCUUGCCAACAACUUUGUAUGGAGAUAAAUUACAGGAUGUUUCCCACGGUCAUGGCCCCAUAA
ensembl:lncRNA novel transcript, intronic to THSD4